AACCAUUUGGUAGUAUAAGUGGCUCUUUCUGCUCAAUGAGUAAUUAAAUAGCCGCAGUACCCUGACUGUGCAAAGGUAGCGUAAUCAUUUGGCUUUUAAUUGGGGUCUAGUAUGAACGAAAAAUUGGGGAAUAGCUUUCUCAGCUGAAUAAUUUGAAUUUUCUUAGUAGAUGAAAAUAUCUACACUUAAUUAAUAGACGAGAAGACCCUAGAAAUUUUUAUACAAGUUAUUAGUAUUUUUGUUGGGGCGACAGAGUAGCAAUGAGUAAACCUACUUGUGAUUAUUUUUCACCUAUUUGGUACACAAUUAAAUUACUCUAGGGAUAACAGCAUAAUGAAAUUCGUUUGUGACCUCGAUGUUGGACUAGGAAAACUUGGACCCAGAAGGUACAUGUUAAUGCUCUGUUCGAGCAAAUUCUCCU
rnacentral:rRNA from 1 species